rnacentral:rRNA from 1 species
GAUGAACGCUGGCGGCGUGCUUAACACAUGCAAGUCGAACGAUGAAGCCCAGCUUGCUGGGUGGAUUAGUGGCGAACGGGUGAGUAACACGUGAGUAACCUGCCCUUAACUCUGGGAUAAGCCUGGGAAACUGGGUCUAAUACCGGAUAGGAGCGUCCACCGCAUGGUGGGUGUUGGAAUGAUUUAUCGGUUUUGGAUGGACUCGCGGCCUAUCAGCUUGUUGGUGAGGUAAUGGCUCACCAAGGCGACGACGGGUAGCCGGCCUGAGAGGGGGACCGGCCACACGGGGACUGAGAGACGGCCCAGACUGCAACGGGAGGCAGCAGUGGGGAAUAUUGCACAGUGGGCGCAAGCCUGAUGCAGCGACGCCGCGUGAGGGAUGACGGCCUUUGGGUUGUAAACCUCUUUCAGUAGGGAAGAAGCGAAAGUGACGGUACCUGAAGAAGAAGCACCGGCUAACUACGUG